CCUUGCAUCUGGUGCCAUGUAACAAGUGCUGAGAUGGCAGUGGACAAAUCAGAUCGUCAAGCAUGUACAGCCAGGAGCCUUGAAACUCUCCACAGGGAUCACGAGCACUUCCUUGCUGCAGGAGGGUCCAUUAAGAAGGCCAAACUCUUCAACAAUGCAGUAGAUGAGCCCUUCUUUUCAAUCCCCAUCUCUCAGGUAUUUGGAAAGUUUAAAUUGCUUAUGAACACUCCAUGUAAUGUAAUCAAUUUGUUAUUUAAGUAUUCUUUACUGUAGUUUUCUUCAUAGUGCAUAAUAGUUACACUGUCUAACACAUUAUUUGUCAGGUAUGCCCACCUACGCUCCAUAUCAGUUUGGGCAUCUGGUUCAAGCUGUAUACUUUGUUUGAGGACGAAUGUAGAGUUCUAGGGGAGGAGAUAGCAGAAGAUCUGGCAAUGGCAAAUGGAGAUGCUGCUAAGUUUGGAGAGGGUCCCUUUCCGUUGCACAUCGCUAAACUGUCCGAGGUACAUGCUGCUAAGGUCAGAGCAAGGGAAAUCCAAGCAUAAUUAACAGACCUUCAUGAGCAGCUUGCCACGAUUGCCGUCCUCAAUGACAACAUCGAUGCCUCAGACGUUGUAGAUGGCGCAACCGCUCAACUGAACAAUCUCACUGAGGAACUGAGACGACAGGACUUACUUGCCAACACCAAAGUGGAGAAGCUGCGGGACCAACGCAACCCCUUGUUGAAUAGGCUGGACCAGACCCUGCAAGAAAUCAAAGUUCGGCGCCAGGCCUAUUAUUCCAACACUUUUGUUGGGAACCACGUUCACAAGUGUCUAAAGGUAAUAAUGAUUGAA